GUGCUGUGGGUGCUUGCUGCCUCGGUGAAUUGUGGCGCAGCGUGGACGAGACCACUCACUAGUUUGCCUUUCCGAUCAGCGUGAUCUAGGUACUUGCUGUUUGGGGGGAAUUUUGUCGCAGCUUGGAGGAGACCGCUCGCCAUUUUGCGUUUUCGAUCGUCGACGUGUUGAUCCCGGAGCUCCAGCGUGGGAACACUUCUGUGAACAUAUGCGCUCGUGUUUCUCGUUUAUGGGAUUUCUGUGAUCCUCAGGAUGAAGCAAAGUUGCUCCAUUAUGAUAUGGUGCUGCUUGACGAAGAGGGAAACAGUAUCCAUGCUGCAAUAUUCCCACCAAUCAUACAAAAGUUCAAGCCUCUGAUAAAAGAAGGAGUCGUCUACAACAUCACAUACUUCCGGGUCAGAGCCUCGAACAAUUUGUACAAGCCUGUUUUCAUUGAGAACAUGAUUACCUUUACAAACUGGACAAAAUUGGAGGAGGUUGUUGAGGUUCCACCAGCAUUUCCUGUGCUUACCUACUCACUCACACCGAUAGACCAGCUCCAUUUGUGUGUCGACCACAGGGAGUACUACACAGGUAGACUUUCUUACUUGUAUACUACAAAAUUUAAGAGACUAUAAUUUUGUUGUAUUCAUUAAUUGGAUCCAAUACAUAUGCCAUUGGAAUUGUCACUUCCAUCUCGGUCGUGGCGCCGCACCGAUCCAGAGGGCAACAUACAACCAGCUCUAAGAGGACUAUUUCCCUGUGCAAUGUUAGGUUCGUUAUACAUAACUGUUACUGUUUUUUAGCCACGUAGGGAUUUGUUUCCUCUGCCUUCAUCUACAUAUGCUUCAUUAUAUGACUCUUCCUACAUACUUAAACUAAAAACAACAACAACAACAGUUCGGUAAAUGUUGUUCUCUGGGGUGGGUAAGCUAGCUUAUUCCCUGGAGAACAGAUCUACAACGAUGGUCAGUCCUCUCCACAGAUCCUGAUGUUUGUUGGCACGCUUGUCAAGAAAUACGCGGAUGGACUGUGCUUGUCUGGAGGCUCACCCUGUAAGUGGUACAUUAAUCCUGAUGUUCCUGAAGCAAGUGCCCUCAUGGCUAGUGCGAGAAAAGCGCAUAGUCCCAUUAAGUGGAACGAGGUUCUAUCUUCGAAUCAGCCUAUGCCUCAUGUUCCUGAGGAACAAAAAAUCGCUUAUAUCAGAGAUCUGCACCCAUUUGAGAAUAAGUCAUGCCAUAGUUGGUUGGAACUGGGAAUAUAGUAUGAGUGUAUAGUUACAUGUUCGUGCAAGAUAGGGAAUUCUUGGUGACAGUCACUGUAAAAAAGAUUGGAGAUAGGUGGUGGUAUAGUGCAUGCAAAAAAUGCACCUACACAACUGUGGCUCAUGGGGAUUCCUACAAGUGCAGCGAUCAAGUUUGUGCUACCAUUGGCACGCCCAACCAAAGGUACAAACUGCUUCUCACUGCAGGGGAUGAGACGGGUGACACAGACUUCAUCCUCUUUGGUCGGAUGGCGCAACACAUCAUUAAGAAGUCGUGUGAUAUGCUCAUUGCCAACAAUCCGACCAGCUUUAUUCCUGAUCCAAUCACAGAUCUGCUCGAGAAGACGUAUAUAUGGAAUGUGAGUUUCUCUGACCACACAAUCAAUACUGGAAAUAUUUGUUUCCAGGUCAACACAGUCGUGGCAGAGAUAGGUACUGCAAAGAACUCCAUCCAAGCAUCUUCAUCGGGGCCAAAACAGUCACAACCUGUGCUAUUGCAAGGCGCACCCAGAGGCAUUGAAGACACUCCUAGCAAAGCCCUAACUUGGUCAUGCCUUCGACCCCGCUCACACCACAAAGUUCUGCAACCAGUGUGCAUCCCAUAGACUUUCAGAUUUAUGUAGCAAACAGUACGCGCUGUGACUGACCCCUUAUAUGCAGACUAUUGGUAUUGGCAACGACACUGUGGUUCCAGGUGCUACUCCCGCUAUAACAAAGGAACUGGCAACCACGUCUAGGAAGAGGUUACUACUAGAUCAUGGUUCGCCAUCGAUGCUAUGCGCAGGCCACGCUCGAUUUCUAUGCUUGUUGACGUGAACGUGCUUCGCUCCCUUCAUGUUUAAGCCUAAGCAGCUUGAUGUGCUUUUGUGUACAA